CAGGGGCAGAGACGCAGGGCAGGGACAGCCCUGGCAUCUCCAUGCUCAAGAGCCUUGAGGAACACCGGCAUCCCUGCCAGGGCUGAGCCCCCACCACCCUGCCUGCUCCCCACGGCCCCAGGUGCUCCCACCCUCUCCAGUCCUUCCCACGACACCGGGCGAGGAGAUUCUUGAGGAGGAUACAGGAAAGGCUGUGCAGGCGAGAGUGGGACAUCACCAACACCAGAGACCACGCAGGAUGGUGACCAGGACCAGCUGAUUAAACCACUCCGGACCCAGGGUACUCACCUGUGGCUGGAAAACCCUCUCGCGGCGUCUCUGCUGGGAGCAGGGCAGCAGGACCUGCUUUCUGGCUGUGCGUGGUAGGAGAUGACAGCGGCGUCUGGUGGAGCAGGAAAGGCUUUUGCCUAUCAGGAGAAACCGGGGCAAGGAGCAGAGCAACGGGAGAGGUUCCAGCCUGGCCCUGAGGUUCUUCCAGCACUGCUUGUGUGUGCAGCAGUGUUAACGUCUUUUGUCGCAGACACGGAGAGUGGGAUUGAGGGCACUCUCAGGAGCCUGUCUGGAGGGGCUGAGCAGAGCCUUCUGGAGAAAAGGUCUCACAAGGAGCGGCUGAGGGACCUGGGGUUGUUCAACCUGGAGAAGAGGAAGCUGAGGGAGACCUCAUUGGUCUCUACAACUGCCUGAAAGGAGGUUGGAGCAAGGCAUUCCUGGAGGCACAGAGCUCUGUGUGCACCUUCCCUGUGUGGCAGAGCUUUGAUGAACCUUGGGAAGCGCAGUCCUGGCCCAGCACGACCAAAGAACAGCGAUAAAAACACAGAACCCCCCAAUGUUCUCCGCGCACAGGGCUGAGACGGAGCCCAGUGCUGCCUUCAUGCUUCACUCUGAGAAGACAGCUGUUAAACCUCUUUUUUUUUCUCCUUUUUUUUUCCCCCCACAUCAGCAACUCUGCAGCUCACACACACCAGAGGCGUUUGCCAAGGAGUGCUCUGGCUUUCUCAUUCCAGGACUUCAAAGAUGCUAAGA